rnacentral:rRNA from 1 species
UACGUAGGGGGCGAGCGUUAUCCGGAUUUACUGGGUGUAAAGGGAGCGUAGACGGCGUCGCAAGUCUGAAGUGAAAGCCCGUGGCUCAACCGCGGAACCGCUUUGGAAACUGUGAGGCUGGAGUGCUGGAGAGGUAAGCGGAAUUCCUGGUGUAGCGGUGAAAUGCGUAGAUAUCACGCAGAACCCCGAUUGCGAAGGCAGCAUACCGGCGCUCAACUGACGCUGAGGCACGAAAGUGCGGGUAUCGAACAGG